CGCGGUUCGGACUCGGGGGCUCGUGGUGGGGCGGGGAUGGGGAUGCUGCCUCGCCCACCCCGCGGCGGACUUCAGUAAAUUCCGUUAGAAUCAGAAGAGAACGAACUUUUACGUAGAAGAAAAUGUCUUAAUUUUUGAAGCACGAUUGCCGUGCAAUAAACCACACAUACUUGAAGUGUGCAACUUGAUGAGUUUGGCACAUAUGUGAAGUUUGACAUAUGCAGUCACGCGCCACAUAGGGACACUUUGGUCAACGACGGACCACGUACAGGACAGUGGUCCCAUAAGACACCUACUCAAGAGGAAGGGCUCCAGCUCCAUCCCAUGAAUCAGUGUACUCUGUGAGCAGAAGAGCGUCGCCAAGGAGGAAGAAAAGAUCUGUAAGCAGCGGCAGCAGAAUCGACAGGGUCAUUCCGGGUGCAGGAGGACAGACGGGGCUCCAGCAGGAGGACGACGUGCAUCGCCAGCCAGCCUGCCUGCUUCCCUCUGGAAAGAGGUGGAGGAAGAUUUGGGCCACAGAGAGGCCGGGGAGGAGGCCAUGGAGCAGAAGCUGGAUGCUGCAGCCCAAGCCAAGGAGCCCCCAGAAGCUGGAAGAGGUGCAGGCCCAUGCUGGGGGCUGGGAAGACAGGCCCAUCCUCAGGCCCUUGUUGGCCUGAGUCGCUCUGCCCACAUCAUCUCAAACACAAAUGGACCCUCAUCAAUUGAAAGUUUUUUCUAAAAAAAAAAAAUUCUGAAUGGAUUUUUGUAGUUUUGAGACAGGAACCAUCGGUAAGGCCCUGGGCCUAACAAGAUAAGGUCCCUAACCAAUCAGGAAGCUAGGAGAAUCAGAUCGAGGCCCCCAAGAUCCACAUCCCACAGCCUCCGGACUUCCCUCAGGACUCCCCCCCCCCCCCCCCCCCCCCGCCCGCUUACACUCGGCCCUAGCACCUAGGAGUCCACUGAAGGUGACCCCCGCCGCAUUAGCAUAGUAAAAAUCACACCCAGGGUGGAGAGCUAGCGUGUUAAUGAUACGACGCAUGUACACCUCUGCAUGCCGUGACGAGGGCCUCCUCCCUAACCUUCGCCUAAUAAAAGCCCCACAGUCCGCUCCCUCAUGAGCCAGUCACCUGCCCCUUUCUUUUCCACCCCGGCUCCCCUGUGCCUCCCCUGUGCACAAGCUGAUCAACUUUUACUUUCUACUCCCCGCUUUGUUGUCGCUCUUGAUUUCUACCCUGGGGGACAAUAAGAACCCAAUAUGCCAGUAACAUCCUUGCCCUUGAAUUCCUUGGCUACCUGACUCUGCUUGGAUGACCUCGGAGAGGAUACCUAACUUCUCUGUGCCUCACUGGCUCAUCUGUAAAAGAGGGAUAACGGUGUUCCUAAGUCGCAGAAGUCAGCGUCGGCCUUUACAAAGUCAUAAAACGACGACCAGCCCAGAGUCAGUCCCACAUACAUUUGCUAAUUAAGAUAAAAUACCAGGAACCUGUACUUUCUGACUUCUUAUCUACUACCCAGCGUUCUCAGAAUUCUUGCUCCGUGAGAAAGUCUAACCCACAGAGUUCUCAAACGGACUGAAACUUUUACAAAUUCCAAAUAAAAAAUAAAGAUGACAUAAUGUUACAUCUUG
rnacentral:lncRNA from 1 species